AUACGGAGGGUGCAAGCGUUACUCGGAAUCACUGGGCGCAAAGCGCGCGCAGGCGGGCUGAUAAGUUGGAUGUGAAAGCCUACGGCUCAACCGUAGAACUGCAUCCAAAACUGUCAGUCUAGAGUGUGGGAGAGGAAGAUGGAAUUAGUUGUGUAGGGGUAAAAUCCGUAGAGAUAACUAGGAAUACCAAAAGCGAAGGCAAUCUUCUGGAACACUACUGACGCUGAGGCGCGAAGGCGUGGGGAGCAAACAGGAUUAGAAACCCUAGUAGUCC
rnacentral:rRNA from 1 species